rnacentral:rRNA from 1 species
UACGUAGGGGCUAGCGUUAUCCGGAAUUACUGGGCGUAAAGGGUGCGUAGGUGGUUUCUUAAGUCAGAGGUGAAAGGCUACGGCUCAACCGUAGUAAGCCUUUGAAACUGGGAAACUUGAGUGCAGGAGAGGAGAGUGGAAUUCCUAGUGUAGCGGUGAAAUGCGUAGAUAUUAGGAGGAACACCAGUUGCGAAGGCGGCUCUCUGGACUGUAACUGACACUGAGGCACGAAAGCGUGGGGAGCAAACAGGAUUAGAUACCCUGGUAGUCCCUGAG